AUUGAACGCUGGCGGCAUGCUUUACACAUGCAAGUCGAACGGCAGCACGGGCUUCGGCCUGGUGGCGAGUGGCGAACGGGUGAGUAAUACAUCGGAACGUACCCAGUAGUGGGGGAUAGCCCGGCGACAGCCGGAUUAAUACCGCAUAUGCCCUGAGGGGGAAAGCGGGGGACCGAAAGGCCUCGCGCCAUUGGAGCGGCCGAUGGCUGAUUAGCUAGUUGGUGGGGUAAAGGCCUACCAAGGCGACGACCAGUAGCUGGUCUGAGAGGACGACCAGCCACACUGGGACUGAGACACGGCCCAGACUCCUACGGGAGGCAGCAGUGGGGAAUUUUGGACAAUGGGCGAAAGCCUGAUCCAGCAAUGCCGCGUGUGCGAAGAAGGCCUUCGGGUUGUAAAGCACUUUUGUUUGGAAAGAAAAGGUUUGGGUUAAUACCCUGGACUGAUGACGGUACCAAUCGAAUAAGCACCGGCUAACUACGUGCCAGCAGCCGCGGUAA
rnacentral:rRNA from 1 species